CAGCCGCCGCGGUAAUACGUAGGCAGCGAGCGUUGUUCGGAAUUACUGGGCGUAAAGAGUGUGUAGGCGGUGCUCUAAGUUUGGUGUGAAAUCUCCCGGCCUAACUGGGAGGGUGCGCCGAAGACUGGAGUGCUCGAACGUGGGAGAGGAAAGCGGAAUUCCUGGUGUAGCGGUGAAAUGCGUAGAUAUCAGGAGGAUCACCUGCGGUGUAGACGGCUUUCUGGACCAUUGUUGACGCUGAGACACGAAAGCGUGGGUAGCAAACAGGAUUAGAUACCCCUGUAGUCCCUGUCUCUUAUAC
rnacentral:rRNA from 1 species